GACGAACGCUGGCGGCGUGCCUAAUACAUGCAAGUCGAACGCAGUGGGGACGGGUGAGUAACACGUGGGUAACCUCCCAUCAGAGGGGAUAACACUUGGAAACAGGUGCUAAACCGAUACUGAUGGAUGGACCCGCGGUGCAGUAGCUAGUUGGUGAGGAAACGGCUAACCAAGGCCACGAUGAAUAGCGGACUGUGUAGGUUGACCGGCAAUACUGGUACUGAGACCGGGACCAGACUCCUACGGGAGGCAGCAGUAGGGAUUCUUCGGCAAUGGACUAAAUUCUGACCGAGCAACGCCGCGUGAGUGAAGAAGGUUUUCGGAUCGUAAAACUCUGUUGUUAGAGAAGCGGUAUCUAACCAGAAAGCCACGGCUAACUACGUGCCAGCAGCCGCGGUAAUAC
rnacentral:rRNA from 1 species